GUCUUCUGUAAAGCCCCGUCUUCCUAGUCACCGACACGAAAGGGCUCCGUUAGAAACGCACCUUGAAUUCAAGCUGUCCUUUGAUGGGGGAGCACAGGAAUUGACCCGGCUCUCUCUGGCGAGGCAAACCGCAAGACAUCUGCUUCUCCAGGGGCACUGAAGGCGAAAGCGCGCGGGUCCCGGCGCACCCUGGGAGCCCGCGCCCGGCACCUGCCAGAGCCAGCUCGCCGUCGCUGCUGGCGCCAUCCUGAGACCCCCCGAGACGCGGGGCGGCGUGAAGGAACGGGCAGCGCUCCCGCUCCAGCGCCGCCGCGGCAUCCCGCGACUCGCGAGGGGCUGACGGAUCGCCGGGCGGCCUCGAGUCAGCUCUGGGCCUCGCUGCUGCAGCGGCCCAAGGCCUCUCUUGGGAAAGCCAAACCCAGACGGACCCGGGCUCACGAGAGGGUCUGCCCCUGGGCUUGCCCAACCUGGCCAUAGCCACGUAGCUAACCCUCCGACCCGGUGUUCGGCCUCCACUGGCAUCUGCCCUUUCCCGGCGACUCGGUGCCCGGCACGCUGGUGGCUGGAGGGGCGCCCGCUGCGGCCUCCAGCGGAAUGAAGCAGAGCGAGGGGCGCAGACACAGGGAGAGCGCCAUUGGGCCCCACACGCCCUUCUCACCCGCUCCCUGACCUCAAGGAAGAACCGACCAGGCUAGGCCGGCCUCGGGGGCCUGAGGCUGUCCGGCUGGGCCCAACUCUGGAGGUGGCUCGGCCGGGGGAUUGGCCGGCUGGAGGCAAGGGGUAGACCUCAGGCUCCCCAGCCCCGGGGAGGCUCCCGCGCCACCCGCGCGCCUCGCGACGCGCCUCUUGCCGCUCUCAGGCUUAAGGAGAGCACAGCCGGGGCAGGGAUCCAUUCCUGACAGGGCGUCAAAUGCUGGGGUGGGGUGAGAGGUAAGUCGUGGGGAGUGGGACAGCCCUUCCGAAUGCGGUCCCCUGAGAAACCUCUCGUUUCUCCCGCAGGGACAAGGUCCAAGGCCUUGGAAUCUGAGUGGAGCAGCACCGGACUGCCCGCGAACUCCCUGCGCUGGGGUCAGAACUAGCGUCUUUGCCCUACCCUGCGGAAGUCAGAGCCGCCCUGAGCCGCGUCGUGAGUCGGAAAAUGCGUCUUAGAAAAACCCUCCAGGAGAGGAGCCGCUGGGGGACCACAGCGUGGGGGUAAAAGAUUUUAGGAUAUCCGCAGCACAGAGUGGGAGAGGCUCGGGUUCAACUCCAGGGAAAGUCUGUCUGACACCUGCUCGCUGCUUAACUGGCAGAGCCCUCUGGGUGGGCCGGCGGGGAAAGGGCCUACGCUGCGGGCCCCCUCCUCCUCCAGCUCCUCCGCGUUUCUUCUCCCAGAUCUUCAUCCGGUCCUCCAGGGUAAUAAACUUUCGGCGGUUCGAGUUUGGGUAGCAACUGCUCGCGCGCCCUCGUCAGUGUGUUAGCCAUUUCCCUGGAAGCGUCCUUGGUGUCGAAAGCCCAGAGCCGCGAGGAAGCAGAUGACCGAGUCGGCGGAAAUGUCCGAGUGAACCAGCAGCGCAGCUCUCGGAUGGCGCACUGGGAGUGGGACAGCUGAGCACAGACUCAGUGCCCUGAGCGCAGCUGGGUCCUGUAGGCUCUGGGACUUCCCUCUCCUCACACCCAGACCCCGCAACUCGCCGUGGGCCCAGUGGCCUGUCUUCCAUGCCGGCCGUUGGCGCCCGGGGUGUCCGACCGACUGUGCUGUUCCUAGGUGGGCCCCCACAAUGCGUGCGCUCUAGACGCCAGCGUAGGCAAGGGAAGUUUCCUGGGCUGAGGGUGGAGAAACUCAACGGUCCCUCCCGGGCGGGCGCUGAGGCGCCGUGAGAGCACUGCAUGCAACGCCGCGCCGCGCUCAGCCUGGGUCUCCCUUUGGCCGUGGGGCACGCACCUGCCCUCUGCAGCAGCCAGGCUUGGACUCUGCCGAGGGGCUGCCCGGCCACGCGGCUUCCCCCAAAGCCUGGAGCUCGCCGACUCUUCCCUACCUUUCAAAGACCGCAGCGCUCGGGCCAGCGUGGCCCAGACUCCACUGUGGAACUUCGGAGGCUGGGGUGGGCGAAGUAAACACGUUUAUGGAAAAACCUGGGCUCAGGAGGUUUGCGGAAAGAGGGCUCAGCUCGUAGGUGGUUGGAAAUUCCGUCCACCCUGCGAGAAAAGCAGGCGGUUCCGCACACAACAUAUAUACACACGCGCACACACAGGGUGGGAAGGUGUGAAGCCCGCCGCUCGGGAGUUGCCCCCACUUUGAUGAAAAGGAAAUACGAAGCGUAGGAACAACUCUUCAGGUCACCACCCCGGGACUGUGUGUCCUGGAGGUCUGAAAGAAGAGAAAGUUCCCUCCAAAUCUUCCAAAUUGAGAAAAGCUGCGGAAGGAAUGAGGCGGUUAGAGAGAGGGGACCGCAAGCAUCCCCGUAGCUGGGGCUCAGGACUGAGCGCUAAAAUGAAACCACCCCUGUAGAUCCCACUAGGGAAAAUGUCUUUUUAAAACCCUUGAACUCUUAGGCAUUCUGCUACUUCCAUGCUUGUCAAAUCUGCUUUGAAGCAGUUAAAUAAUGAAGGAUAUUAAACACUGGUCUCCGUUCCAAACUCACUCUUUAAUCUUUGCGAAUUUGAAAUUAGAAGGAAAGGAAAAGAUCUGCUAUCCCUGAAUUAUGUUUUACCAAAGGAACGAAAAAUUCUAUACACUUCAGCAUAAAUCAAAUAGAAGGAAUUUUAUCUUAAUAAAAUAAUAUCUCGUAGCUUCUACCUGGCUCCCCAAUCACUGGUUAAUAACCUUUUGACAGUUUUUAGCCUUCUGCUUAUAUUUGUCCACUUAUAUUUGUUCACGAUGGAGAUUAUUUUAAUUGUCCUUCGGGGCGGCACAUCCAAAGCCACCUUUUGGCGGAAUACUUUUGAAUUAUACAGCCUCUUGGCUGCAAGAUCUGCGCCCCUCAAAGGGAGGACUUGCUGGGGGGGGGCGGAGGGCCAAGCCAAAUCCCCUCUGGCGUCUCGUCUGGGACGAAGGGCGUUUUGCUCAGGGUUGCUCAAGAAUAUGUCUUCUAGGAAAAGGCUGUUUAAAAUGAGCGUGUGUUAUUCCUUUCUGUCACUCGGUCACCCUACUUCCAGAGUAGCUGAAGUGCGUUCU
rnacentral:lncRNA from 1 species